GCGCUCACUUUGGCAGCACAUAUACUAAAAUUGGAAUGAUACAGAGAAAAUUAGCAUGGCUCCUGCACAAGGAUGACAUGCAAACUUGUGAAGCGUUCCAUAUUUAA
rnacentral:snRNA from 1 species